GUUAAGCCUUCCCCUAUUUCCUCUAGUGGCUGUCUCAUUGACAGCCACUAGAGGCGCUUGCGUGCUUCUCACUGUGAUUUUUACAGUGAGAGCACGCCAGCGUCCAUAGGAAAGCAUUGUAAAUGCUUUCCUAUGCGACCGGCUGAAUGCGCGCGCAGCUCUUGCCGCGCGUGCGCAUUCAGCCGGCGGGGCGGAGAGAAGGAGGAGAGCUCCCCGCCCAGCGCUGGAAAAAGGUAAGUUUUUACCCCUUUC
rnacentral:lncRNA from 1 species